rnacentral:rRNA from 2 species
AGGGAAACCGAGUCUUAACUGGGCGUUAAGUUGCAGGGUAUAGACCCGAAACCCGGUGAUCUAGCCAUGGGCAGGUUGAAGGUUGGGUAACACUAACUGGAGGACCGAACCGACUAAUGUUGAAAAAUUAGCGGAUGACUUGUGGCUGGGGGUGAAAGGCCAAUCAAACCGGGAGAUAGCUGGUUCUCCCCGAAAGCUAUUUAGGUAGCGCCUCGUGAACUCAUCUUCGGGGGUAGAGCACUGUUUCGGCUAGGGGGUCAUCCCGACUUACCAACCCGAUGCAAACUGCGAAUACCGAAGAAUGUUAUCACGGGAGACACACGGCGGGUGCUAACGUCCGUCGUGAAGAGGGAAACAACCCAGACCGCCAGCUAAGGUCCCAAAGUCACAGUUAAGUGGGAAACGAUGUGGGAAGGCUCAGACAGCCAGGAUGUUGGCUUAGAAGCAGCCAUCAUUUAAAGAAAGCGUAAUAGCUCACUGGUCGAGUCGGCCUGCGCGGAAGAUGUAACGGGGCUAAACUGUGCACCGAAGCUGCGGCAGCGACGCUUAUGCGUUGUUGGGUAGGGGAGCGUUCUGUAAGCCUGCGAAGGUGU